CCUACGGGAGGCAGCAGUGAGGAAUAUUGGUCAAUGGCCGGAAGGCUGAACCAGCCAUGCCGCGUGAAGGUCAGUGCCCUAUGGGCGUUAAACUUCUUUUGUGCGGGAGCAAUCAUGGUCACGUGUGGCCAGACGAGAGUACCGUACGAAUAAGCAUCGGCUAACUCCGUGCCAGCAGCCGCGGUAAUACGGGGGAUGCAAGCGUUAUCCGGAUUUAUUGGGGUUAAAGGGUGAGUAGGCUGGGAGGUAAGUCAGCGGUGAAAUGCCCCCGCUCAACGGGGUGAAGUGCCAUUGAGACUGGCUUGCUGGAAUGCGGAUGACGUGGGAGGAAUGUGUGGUGUAGCGGUGAAAUGCAUAGAUAUCACACAGAACACCGAUUGCGAAGGCAUCUCACGAAUCCGCGAUUGACGCUGAUGCACGAAAGCGUGGGUAUCAAACAGGAUUAGAUACCCCGGUAGUC
rnacentral:rRNA from 1 species